rnacentral:misc_RNA from 1 species
UUAUUGAUUUGCAUUAUGUUUGUAAUGUGUUAAAAGGCCAAUUUUAGUGUUGUAAAUGCGCAAGGAGAAAGAACUACAACAAUUGGGCAAGUUGGGGUGAAUAUUAGGAAGAUGGUGCUCAAGAAAGUCUGUCAUCUAGGAUUGAUGUUUCCCAAUCAACACUACCUACAUCUAUUAUCCAAGGUGGGAGAGGUGCUGACAGGAA